UACGGGGGGGGCAAGCGUUGUUCGGAAUUACUGGGCGUAAAGGGCGCGUAGGCGGCCAUCUAAGUCAGACGUGAAAUCCCUCGGCUCAACCGAGGAACUGCGUCUGAUACUGGAAGGCUUGAAUCCGGGAGAGGGAUGUGGAAUUCCAGGUGUAGCGGUGAAAUGCGUAGAUAUCUGGAGGAACACCGGUGGCGAAGGCGGCAUCCUGGACCGGUAUUGACGCUGAGUCGCGAAAGCUAGGGGAGCAAACGGG
rnacentral:rRNA from 1 species